UUGGCGACAGAUAUAUCACCGCAUGCACAGCUGUUUCCCUCUAUGAUGGAACGGAGCCACGUAUGGAUAAAAUUGAGCAAUGUGCAGUUAUCAAAUUCUUUGUAAAGAAAGGUUUAAAAGCAAUGGAAAUUCAUACCGAAAUGGUGAAUGUGUUGUGGGUGAAUCUGCUCCUUCAAAAACAACGGUUUGCAAGUAGGCUAAUUUAUUCAAAAGUGGUCGUACCAGCCUUGAAGACGAUGCGCGAGAGGGACGUCCAAAGACUGCAUCUACACCGGAAAUCAUCGGAAAAAUACAAGAUAUGGUAUUCGAAGACCGUCGAUUGACUGAAAGCUUAACAGAGGCUUUAGGCAUUUCAUUGGGCACAGUGAGCAAUAUUUUGAGUGUUAAUUUGGGUUUCAAAAAACUCUAUGCAAAAUGGAUACGGCAUUCUCUAAUGAUGGAGCAAAAACACAUUCGGAUGCGACUUUGCCAGCAACAUUUGGAGCGUUUUUAAGGAGAAUAAAAGCGACUUUAUCCGUCGAUUUAAGGCUAAGGAGUGGUGUGAACCCUGCUCUUCAGCGCCGAAGCGAGUUCGUGUGCAAAAAUCAGCCAAGAAGGUGUUAGCAUCAGUUUUUUGGGAUGCGAAAGGAUUUUUGUUUAUAGAUUACCUUCAAACUGGCAAAACAAUUAAUUCGGAUUAUUAUUGUAACCUUUUAAAUCAAUUUAGACGAAAAAAUUCGUGAAAGAAGACCGGAUUACAGAAGAAGAAAAUCAUUUUCCACCAAGAUAAUGCACCUGCGCACACAGCUCAAAAAACCAUUGCUAAAACAAAUGAAUUGAAGUACGAAUUGUUGCAACAUCCAGCCUAUUCAACAGAUUUAACUCCCUCUGACUUCUGGCUCUUCCCACACCUCAAACAAUAUCUCCGUAGAAAUGAUUUUCUUCAAACGAAGAGGUAAUUGCUGCCGUGGAGGGAUAUUUUGCAGAGCUGCCGAAAAACCACUACAGUCAAGGGAUCCAUAAAUUAGAAGACUGUUGGAAUAAGUGUAUUGAAGUUGAGGGAAAUUACGUUGAACAAUAAAGUCCUUUUUACAAAUAAAUAUUGGUUUCUUCAUUUCCAUUCAGUGAACUUACUGAACAACCUGGUAUGAGUGAAAUUUAAAAAGAUUUCAGUUGUUGAUUUCUCCAGUUUCAGCACGUUGUCUGGUACUAGACUGAAUUAAUAAAUGAUUAAUACAAUUUACUUAAUGCUUAUACUUAAAAAUAUGUUACAGAGCAAUAUGCAUCAAUUAAGCAAAAUUGAAAUAGACUGCAGGGUACGAACUAAUUGCAAACUUUAUCGGAAAAUAUUUUCAUUUCAGUAUUUCAUCUUAAAUUUUGUGAAUUAAAAAUUUUUGUUAUGUGCACUU